rnacentral:rRNA from 1 species
CAGCCGCCGCGGUAAUACGUAGGUGGCAAGCGUUAUCCGGAAUUAUUGGGCGUAAAGCGCGCGUAGGCGGUUUUUUAAGUCUGAUGUGAAAGCCCACGGCUCAACCGUGGAGGGUCAUUGGAAACUGGAAAACUUGAGUGCAGAAGAGGAAAGUGGAAUUCCAUGUGUAGCGGUGAAAUGCGCAGAGAUAUGGAGGAACACCAGUGGCGAAGGCGACUUUCUGGUCUGUAACUGACGCUGAUGUGCGAAAGCGUGGGGAUCAAACAGGAUUAGAUACCCGCGUAGUCCCUGUCUCUUAUAC